GGAUUGUAAUGGAAAUCCUUUUUGUUCGUUCCUCACAAAAAGAUUGAAACGAAAAGCCCGACC
rnacentral:sRNA from 1 species